AGCAGGUUGCUCCUUUCUGAAUUGGACUGGAAAUGUUCACAAAUCCUAUUCUGCUACCCAAGACCCUUGGGGCAAGGGAUGGAAAAGGCCUGUGGUUUCCAGGAGAGGAAAAGAAAUGCUCAGCCUGUGUUUUUAGGACUGCUUAUCAGAACAGCAUGUAAAUAUUUUCAAACUAAACUGGUCACUCAAUCUGUGGUUUUCAUGCAAUCUGCAGGUUCUGCACCUGUUGGAAGCUGAUUUAAUGCUCCUCAUGCAAGACAGAAUGAGAGAACAAAGCAGAUUUUGCACGGCAGUUAAAUUAUCCAAGGUUGUUCUCAAGCACAUCAUAUUGCCAUUUGGAGUAAUAAAUACUGCAUCAAAUUUGUCACCUUUAAAAAUGAGAAAAUGAAAAUAAGAAAAAAAAAGAGUUUAUCACCAAUGUCAGUCUUUGAAAAGGGAUGCAUACAUUCAAAUGUUUAUUCUGCUGAUAUUGAAGAAGACUGGCUUUCUUAACAACAAAACUAUUGUAAAUGUCUUAAAAUUAAACAACAAGCUUCAGGCAAAAAGAUGUAUGCGCAGCAAAAAGCUAUUACUUACAAGACCAUAUGUGCCAGAAGGCAAAUACUCCCAUGUUCAAAGACAGAAUGGAGGAGACAACGUAUUCCAGCUCUGAGCCCUUUUGAUGCAUCUCCCUUACACACACAAUAAAAAUUUUUGGAUCAA